AUUGAACGCUGGCGGCAGGCCUAACACAUGCAAGUCGAACGAGUGGCGGACGGGUGUGUAAUGUCUGGGAAACUGCCUGCUGGAGGGGGAUAACUACUGGAAACGGUAGCUAAUACCGCAUACCAUCGGCUUUGCCCAGCUGGGCUUAGCUAGUAGGUGGGGUAAAGGCUCACCGAGGCGACGAUCCCUAGCUGGUCUGAGAGGAUGACCAGCCACACUGGAACUGGGGGACGGUCCAGGCUCCUAGGGGAGACAGCAGGGGGGAAUAUUGCACAAUGGGCGCAAGCCUGAUGCAGCCAUGCGGCGUGUAGGAAGAGGGCAUUAGGGUUGUAAAGUACUUUCAGCGGGGAGGCGUUACCCGCAGAAGAAGCACCGGCUAACUCCGUGCCAGCCGCCGCGGUAAUAC
rnacentral:rRNA from 1 species